rnacentral:rRNA from 1 species
CUUUUACAAUGAAGAGUUUGAUCCUGGCUCAGGAUGAACGCUAGCUACAGGCUUAACACAUGCAAGUCGAGGGGCAGCAUUUUAGUUUGCUUGCAAACUGAAGAUGGCGACCGGCGCACGGGUGAGUAACACGUAUCCAACCUGCCGAUAACUCGGGGAUAGCCUUUCGAAAGAAAGAUUAAUAUCCGAUAGUAUAUUAAAACCGCAUGGUUUUACUAUUAAAGAAUUUCGGUUAUCGAUGGGGAUGCGUUCCAUUAGUUUGUUGGCGGGGUAACGGCCCACCAAGACAACGAUGGAUAGGGGUUCUGAGAGGAAGGUCCCCCACAUUGGAACUGAGACACGGUCCAAACUCCUACGGGAGGCAGCAGUGAGGAAUAUUGGUCAAUGGGCGAGAGCCUGAACCAGCCAAGUAGCGUGAAGGAUGAAGGCUCUAUGGGUCGUAAACUUCUUUUAUAUGGGAAUAAAGUAUUCCACGUGUGGAAUUUUGUAUGUACCAUAUGAAUAAGGAUCGGCUAACUCCGUGCCAGCAGCCGCGGUAAUACGGAGGAUCCGAGCGUUAUCCGGAUUUAUUGGGUUUAAAGGGAGCGUAGGUGGAUUGUUAAGUCAGUUGUGAAAGUUUGCGGCUCAACCGUAAAAUUGCAGUUGAAACUGGCAGUCUUGAGUACAGUAGAGGUGGGCGGAAUUCGUGGUGUAGCGGUGAAAUGCUUAGAUAUCACGAAGAACUCCGAUUGCGAAGGCAGCUCACUAGACUGUCACUGACACUGAUGCUCGAAAGUGUGGGUAUCAAACAGGAUUAGAUACCCUGGUAGUCCACACAGUAAACGAUGAAUACUCGCUGUUUGCGAUAUACAGUAAGCGGCCAAGCGAAAGCAUUAAGUAUUCCACCUGGGGAGUACGCCGGCAACGGUGAAACUCAAAGGAAUUGACGGGGGCCCGCACAAGCGGAGGAACAUGUGGUUUAAUUCGAUGAUACGCGAGGAACCUUACCCGGGCUUAAAUUGCAACAGAAUAUAUUGGAAACAGUAUAGCCGUAAGGCUGUUGUGAAGGUGCUGCAUGGUUGUCGUCAGCUCGUGCCGUGAGGUGUCGGCUUAAGUGCCAUAACGAGCGCAACCCUUAUCUUUAGUUACUAACAGGUCAUGCUGAGGACUCUAGAGAGACUGCCGUCGUAAGAUGUGAGGAAGGUGGGGAUGACGUCAAAUCAGCACGGCCCUUACGUCCGGGGCUACACACGUGUUACAAUGGGGGGUACAGAAGGCGGCUACCUGGUGACAGGAUGCUAAUCCCAAAAACCUCUCUCAGUUCGGAUCGAAGUCUGCAACCCGACUUCGUGAAGCUGGAUUCGCUAGUAAUCGCGCAUCAGCCAUGGCGCGGUGAAUACGUUCCCGGGUCUUGUACACACCGCCCGUCAAGCCAUGAAAGCCGGGGGUACCUGAAGUACGUAACCGCAAGGAGCGUCCUAGGGUAAAACUGGUAAUUGGGGCUAAGUCGUAACAAGGUAGCCGUACCGGAAGGUGCGGCUGGAACACCUCCUUUCU